ACGAACGCUGGCGGCGUGCUUAACACCUGCCAGUCGAACGGAAAGGCCCUGCUUUUGUGGGGUGCUCGAGUGGCGAACGGGUGAGUAACACGUGAGUAACCUGCCCUUGACUUUGGGAUAACUUCAGGAAACUGGGGCUAAUACCGGAUAGGAGCUCCUGCUGCAUGGUGGGGGUUGGAAAGUUUCGGCGGUUGGGGAUGGACUCGCGGCUUAUCAGCUUGUUGGUGGGGUAGUGGCUUACCAAGGCUUUGACGGGUAGCCGGCCUGAGAGGGUGACCGGCCACAUUGGGACUGAGAUACGGCGCAGACGCCUACGGGAGGCAGCAGUGGGGAAUAUUGCACAAUGGGCGGAAGCCUGAUGCAGCAACGCCGCGUGCGGGAUGACGGCCUUCGGGUUGUAAACCGCUUUCGCCUGUGACGAAGCGUGAGUGACGGUAAUGGGUAAAGAAGCACCGGCUAACUACGUG
rnacentral:rRNA from 1 species